rnacentral:rRNA from 1 species
AUUGAACGCUGGCGGAAUGCUUUACACAUGCAUGUCGAGCGGCAGCACGGACUUCGGUCUGGUGGCGAGUGGCGAACGGGUGAGUAAUGUAUCGGAACGUGCCCAGUCGUGGGGGAUAACGUAGUGAAAAUUACGCUAAUACCGCAUACGCUCUAUGGAUGAAAGCGGGGGAUCGCAAGACCUCGCGCGAUUGGCGCGGCCGAUAUCAGAUUAGGUAGUUGGUGGGGUAAAGGCCCACCAAGCCAACGAUCUGUAGCUGGUCUGAGAGGACGACCAGCCACACUGGAACUGAGACACGGUCCAGACUCCUACGGGAGGCAGCAGUGGGGAAUUUUGGACAAUGGGCGAAAGCCUGAUCCAGCCAUUCCGCGUGCAGGAUGAAGGCCCUCGGGUUGUAAACUGCUUUUGUACAGAACGAAAAGGUUUCUACUAAUACUAGGAGCUCAUGACGGUACUGUAAGAAUAAGCACCGGCUAACUACGUGCCAGCAGCCGCCGUAA